CACGCCCUAAACGAUGUCAACUAGCUGUUGGGCCCUUCGGGGCUUAGUAGCGUAGCUAACGCGUGAAGUUGACCGCCUGGGGAGUACGGUCGCAAGAUUAAAACUCAAAGGAAUUGACGG
rnacentral:rRNA from 1 species